AGCGAACGCUGGCGGCAGGCCUAACACAUGCAAGUCGAACGAACCUUUCGGGGUUAGUGGCGGACGGGUGAGUAACACGUGGGAACGUGCCUUUAGGUUCGGAAUAACUCAGGGAAACUUGUGCUAAUACCGAAUGUGCCCUUCGGGGGAAAGAUUUAUCGCCUUUAGAGCGGCCCGCGUCUGAUUAGCUAGUUGGUUGAGGUAAUGGCUCACCAAGGCGACGAUCAGUAGCUGGUCUGAGAGGAUGAUCAGCCACAUUGGGACUGAGACACGGCCCAAACUCCUACGGGAGGCAGCAGUGGGGAAUCUUGCGCAAUGGGCGAAAGCCUGACGAAGCCAUGCCGCGUGAAUGAUGAAGGUCUUAGGAUUGUAAAAUUCUUUCAACGGGGACGAUAAUGACGGUACCCGGAGAAGAAGCCCCGGCUAACUUCGUG
rnacentral:rRNA from 1 species